AUAUCAAUAAGCGGAGGAAAAGAAACCAACAGGGAUUGCCCUAGUAACGGCGAGUGAAGCGGCAACAGCUCAAAUUUGAAAUCUGGCCCUUCCGGGGUCCGAGUUGUAAUUUGCAGAGGAAGUUUCGGCGUCGAUCUCGGGCUAAGUCCCCUGGAACGGGGCGCCCUAGAGGGUGAGAGCCCCGUAUCCGCCCGGGCGUGCUUCGCCGUGUGAAGCUCCUUCGACGAGUCGAGUUGUUUGGGAAUGCAGCUCUAAGCGGGAGGUAUAUUUCUUCUAAAGCUAAAUACCGGCCAGAGACCGAUAGCGCACAAGUAGAGUGAUCGAAAGAUGAAAAGCACUUUGGAAAGAGAGUUAAAAAGCACGUGAAAUUGUUGAAAGGGAAGCUCUUGCCGCCAGACUUGUCGCGGUUGCUCAGCCGUCCCCCCCACCUUGGGGGGGCGGUGUACUCUUCCGCCGGCAGGCCAGCGUCGGUUCGGGCGGCCGGAUAAAGGCCCCGGGAAUGUAGCACCUCUCGGGGUGUGUUAUAGCCCGGGGCGCAAUGCGGCCAGCCCGGUCUGAGGCACGCGUCCACGAGGACGCUGGCGUAAUGGUUGCAAGCGACCCGUCUUGAAACACGGACCAAGGAGUCUAACAUCUGUGCGAGUGUUUGGGUCUCACACCCAUACGCGCAAUGAAAGUGAACGGAGGUGGGAACCCCCCCUCGAGGGGCGCACCAUCGACCGAUCCUGAUGUCUUCGGAUGGAUUUGAGUAAGAGCAUAGCUGUUGGGACCCGAAAGAUGGUGAACUAUUCCCGGAUAGGGUGAAGCCAGAGGAAACUCUGGUGGAGGCUCGCAGCGGUUCUGACGUGCAAAUCGAUCGUCAAAUCUAGGAAUAGGGGCGAAAGACUAAUCGAACCAU
rnacentral:rRNA from 1 species